UAUUUUUGCUGUUUUAGAAGGACGACAAUAAUGAAUUCAAAGAAAACGAUGAUUAUGAAGAUGAAGUUUUAGAAAAUUAUAUUGAUGCUCUUCCCAAUCCUGAUAGAGUUAAUGACAAUAAUGAAGAUGACAAAGAUGAUUAUGACAAUGAAGAUGAAGAAACUGUUAUAAACAUGAAUUCUCGGAAAUUAAGUCCAAAAGAAAAGAAAAACCCAAAGAGGAGCAGCUGCCAGGGAGAUUCUGAUGAUGGAGGCGGAAGACCAGGGAG